CUGCUAAAUCUGUCUGGAGAGUCCAACAAUAAAUAAAAGCAUUUCACUUCAUUUGUGCUCUCUAUGCUUCCGUCAUCCCUUUCACCCACUUUUCCUUCUAUUUUUCUCUUCCUCUCCCUAAAUCUAACUUGUUCAAUUUUAGGUUUUCUUAUUCUUCCAAUUUCUAUUAAAGGAAAGAUGGGGGCUACCUAGCAUCAUUCACCCAUAAUUAUCCUCUCUUUUUAUUUUCUUUUGUUGUGCAGGUUUUGUCACAACGAACGAACAUCUGUACACUGUAUUAUUUUAUGUAUUCGCUCUGAUUAUGGCCAACCAUUCUAUUGGAUGAGUUACUGUUCUCUAAUCUGCUCAACUUCCAUUGACAAAUUGUCGGUGGUUUGAACAUACUUUUGAAUUUCUAUUCCUAUAUAUGCUUACUUAAUUAAUGUUGUAAAUCUUAAUUUUGUGCCUUUGCAGCUAUACUUGAAACACAUAAUUUGGAUCUCUCUCGACCUCUACAAUUACAUGUAAUCUCUCCCCUCUCUCUCUUCAUUAUCUGAACUUACUACUUUCUAUGACGAACAUAAAUUUAUGUAUAAAAAUUACGAAUAAAAUAACAACUAGCAAGUCUGAAUUCAUAAUACUAAAAAAAUCCUAAAGGUUGAACUCAUACAACUUAAAUUCGAGAUCUGCAUAUUUAUAUUAGCUCAUGUAAUUGAAGUACAAGAACAAUCACCGUAUACAUUUAUUAAACUGAUAAUCCAUGGGAAGUAUAUGGGUUUAGGCUAACAGUUAACAUAAAAGAGGCUUAAUUAUAAGCAUGAAAAUCAUCUUAAUUGUCUUUUUCCUAAUGAAUUAGUUGGAUCUAUGGUUCUGAACUCCCAAUUUCGGUGUCUUACUUUUCUUUUUGAUUUGUCCCCAAAAGAGUCUCUUCUUAACUUCAAAUAAGUUUUUCAAUUCCAUCCAACAAUAAUGAUCACAAGAUUUAAAAGACUACACAAAUCUUUGACCACAAAAUUAAAAAAACUCCAUAUAUUU
rnacentral:lncRNA from 1 species